UUGGAGGGCAAGUCUGGUGCCAGCAGCCGCGGUAAUUCCAGCUCCAAUAGCGUAUAUUAAAGUUGCUGCAGUUAAAAAGCUCGUAGUUGAAUUUCGGGACCACUAUGUCGGUCGUGCUUCGGUACGUACUGUCAUCAUUGGUUUCUCCCUUCUGAAGAACCUUGAUGUCAUUAAUUUGGUGUCUUGGGGAAUCAGGACUGUUACUUUGAAAAAAUUAGAGUGUUUAAAGCAGGCUCGCGCUUGAAUACAUUAGCAUGGAAUAAUGAAAUAGGACGUUUGAUUCUAUUUUGUUGGUUUCUAGGAUCGACGUAAUGAUUAAUAGGGAUAGUUGGGGGCAUUAGUAUUCAAUUGUCAGAGGUGAAAUUCUUGGAUUUAUUGAAGACUAACUACUGCGAAAGCAUUUGCCAAGGAUGUUUUCAUUAAUCAAGAACGAAAGUUAGGGGAUCGAAGACGAUCAGAUACCGUCGUAGUCUUAACCAUAAACUAUGCCGACUAGGGAUCGGAUGAUGUUGAUUUUUUAAUGACUCAUUCGGCACCUUACGGGAAAC
rnacentral:rRNA from 1 species